AUUGAACGCUGGCGGCAGGCCUAACACAUGCAAGUCGAACGGUAACAGGAAGAAGCUUGCUUCUUUGCUGACGAGUGGCGGACGGGUGAGUAAUGUCUGGGAAACUGCCUGAUGGAGGGGGAUAACUACUGGAAACGGUAGCUAAUACCGCAUAACGUCGCAAGACCAAAGAGGGGGACCUUCGGGCCUCUUGCCAUCGGAUGUGCCCAGAUGGGAUUAGCUAGUAGGUGGGGUAACGGCUCACCUAGGCGACGAUCCCUAGCUGGUCUGAGAGGAUGACCAGCCACACUGAAAGUGAGACACGGUCCAGACUCCUACGGGAGGCAGCAGUGGGGAAUAUUGCACAAUGGGCGCAAGCCUGAUGCAGCCAUGCCGCGUGUAUGAAGAAGGCCUUCGGGUUGUAAAGUACUUUCAGCGGGGAGGAGGGGAGUAAAGUUAAUACCCUUGCUCAUUGACGUUACCCGCAGAAGAAGCACCGGCUAACUCCGU
rnacentral:rRNA from 1 species